UUGGCACCUCGAUGUCGGCUCAUCACAUCCUGGGGCUGAAGUCGGUCCCAAGGGUAUGGCUGUUCGCCAUUUAAAGUGGUACGCGAGCUGGGUUUAGAACGUCGUGAGACAGUUCGGUCUCUAUCUGUUGCGGGCGUUGGAAAUUUGAGAGGAGCUGACUUUAGUACGAGAGGACCGAGUUGGACAAACCUCUAGUGUACCUGUUGUGACGCCAGUUGCAUCGCAGGGUAGCUACGUUUGGACGGGAUAAGCACUGAAAGCAUAUAAGUGCGAAGCCCACCUCAAGAUGAGAUUUCCCUUAAGGGUCGUUCGAGAUUAGGACGUUGAUAGGCUACAAGUGUAAAGGUGG
rnacentral:rRNA from 1 species